CUCAGAUCAAUGCAGCUGGGAAAUUUCACAGUUCUGGUGGAGUGCUUUUAUACUCAGCACCUCCCUGCUCCCUGCAUUCCAUGCUGGAAUGAGAGCCAAGUACCAAGACAGAUUCUACUGCAUUUACCUUUUUAACCUAUGCUAUGGUUAAACUGCUCACUGGAAGGACAGACCUGAAGCCGAGGCUCCAAUACUUUGGCCACCUCAUGAGAAGAGAAGACUCCCUGGAAAAGACCCUGAUGUUGGGAAAGAUGGAGGGCACAAGGAGAAGGGGACGACAGAGGACGAGAUGGUUGGACAGUGUUCUCAAAGCUAUGAACAUGAGUUUGACCAAACUGCGGGAGGCAGUGGAAGACAGGAGUGCCUGGCGUGCUCUGGUCCAUGGGGUCACGAGGAGUCGGACAUGACUAAACAACAACAAUGGUUUAACAUUAAAGAUAAUAGAAUCAUAGAAUUCUAUAGUUAGAAGGAAUCCCAAGGACUUUCUAGUUCAAGCCCCUCGAUGCAGGAAUCUCAACUGAACAUCCAUGGCCGAUGGCCAUCCACCUUCUUCUUAAAAACCCUGAAGAUUUAUGGGCACCAAGUUCCCUUGGCAGUGAAGAUGAAGAUCAUAAUCUCUUCCCAGGACAAGGGAGGGGAGCUUCCAGUUCACCUACAGCAGGGGUGGCCAACUCCCAAGAGACUGUGAUCUACUUUCAGAAUUAUAAUCUGGCAGUGAUCUACCCCCAUUUUUGGGGUUUGGCUCAAAGUUGUUGAGCUUUUUUAGGGAGAAGGAAAGGGGGGGUGACCAGAUUUGGUAACCUUUUGGGGGGAGCACUGCCAAAAUACUUUUCUUACAGGGGACAACAGAAACUUUUAGAGAGUUUCUUCAGAGAGAGUUGCAUAAAAGCACUCACAAAACUGUACGCCGCACAAAACCUAUCAAGAUUUCUUAAAAAAUACAUGCCUUCAUCCAUUGUUAGUGUGACACCUGCAUCACCAUUUUGGUAACCAACUGUUCGAUAUCAGGCGAGUACUGUGUCAGGGCCAGCUUCAGGGAAUCCUUAAGGUGCUCAUCUGUCAUGUUUGAACGAUGCAUACCCUUUGUCAUUUUAAAAUAUGAAAAUGCAGAUUCACACAAAUAAGUAAAACCAAUACAUGAGUGUAAAAUUUCACUGCAUCUUCUCAAAUUUGGAAAUUUCUGUCUGGGCACAAACUUCCAAAAUGAUGAUUCUUCUGCACGGGCCCUCAGAAAAAUGUCAUUUUUCAGAGUUAAUAUCUCAUUUUCAAAGAUAUUUUCCACAACGAGUAAUUUGUACUGAUAGUAACAGCAAUUUUUUAAAUGUCCAAAUCAGAUUUGAAUGGAAAUGGCAUGUACUCUACAAUUAAUUCAAUUUUUUGGAAGUCACCAAAUCUUUUUUUCUAACUCCAGAAUAACAGAACCAAUUUCAGCCACAUACUUCUCUGUUUGAAAAACAAAGUCAGGAUUUUUCCCCAGAUGGUCCUGCAUAGGAAAGUGAUCAAAAAUUUUGAUUGUAAGGUCAGCCAUCAUUAGCUUAAAUUUUGUUUUGUAGGAUGAAACUAUUUUAAUCAUGUUGCCAAUGCAUUUACCUUUACCUUGUAGCUCAAGGUUCAUAUCACUAAGUUUACCUGUGAAACCAGGAAGGAAAGCCAGAUCAAACAACCACUUGUCAUCUUUUUAAGGGGGGGGGAACCCUAAAGUUGUUGACUUUUUAAGGAAAGGUUCCCCAGAGUUGUUGACCUUUUUUUAGGGAGCUGACACCAUGCUUACACAUUAUCUCUGCUUGGGAAAAGAAAACCUCAAUAUUUAAGCUACAUAGAAGAUCUACCCUUUGAGUAGUGAUUUAAAAAAGAAAGAAACAGAAGACACAACUUAUACACGCAGUUUAUUCUAUCUCAUUUUCUGAACUACUGCUAUCAUUUCCAUUUUCUCUUCCUCUUCCUUUUUGUCAUUUUUCUCAUGGACUUCUAAAAAACUGCUUUGGAGGAAAAUGGGGGAAAAAACAUUUUUCCAGUCCCCCCCCCCCCAGGCCCUCAUAUACGAUAGGCCCUGUUAUAAGAGUUGCAUUUUAUAGUACUCACUUUAUAGUACUCACUUUAGCGUUUUAAGCCCUAAAUAACUUAGGGCUCACAUAGCUGAAAGACCUCACAGGUGCAGAACCUCACAGGUGUUAGGAUCAGCAGAGGGGAAGCUCUUGGGAGUUUCACAGCCCUCAGAAUUUGGGGGGGGGAUGUAGCCCAGAUUGUAUUCUCUGUGGAAUCCCCUAAAUUGUGGAAUUCCCUCCUCACAGGUAUGUGUUUGGCUUCUUCACUAUUCAGCUUUUUUCAGGGCCCACUCUAUUCCUUUGAUUGCUAACUGUUUUAAAUUUUGAAUUUUGAAUUGUAACCCAAUCUGGGACAUGUUGGUAAAGGGUGUGUAAUUAAUGAUGAUGAGUACAACAACAACAACAAUGUGAAAUAGUAGAAAAUGCUUCAGGUAUGUGCAUACAUUUUUGUCACUAAUAUUAGUAAUCAAGAGGAAAGGAGAGCAAAAUUUUCAAGUUCAGAAGUCAUCGUGAUUUCUAGCACUUAUUACAGCCCUGAUACCUAUGGCUGUUGUUUGGUGGUGGUGGGGAGCUGGGAGGUAGUUUAUUCCCAUGAAAGCAAAUGUGCUGACGUGUGGGGCUGGUAUAUACCAGGUUUCCCUGCCCCUUUGA